CCAUGCCGCGUGGGUGAUGAAGGCCUAGGUUGUAAAGCCUUCGCGGGAAGAUAAUGACGGUACCCGCAGAAGAAGCCCCGGCUAACUUCGUGC
rnacentral:rRNA from 1 species